CAAGCUCUUUGGUGUGUAUGUUUGUAUGCGUUUUUGUAUGUGAGAGGCAGAGAAAAAGCGUUUGAGAGAGCGGGGGCUGACGGAGGGAAGACAAACCGAGAGUUAAGAGUGUGUGAAAGAGAGAUACGGCGAGAGAGGGGGGGAUUUGUAAGGCACUUUGUAUUUGCAAACUACUAGAUGAAUUACCAUUGGAAACAGGCAGUGGAUCAGACAGACAGACAGUGUGUGUGUGUGUGUGUGUGUGUGUGGGGGACAGAUACAGAAGGUGGGAGGGAGAGGGGAGGAGGGAGAGGCAAGAACCCGUUCCCCUCAGUUCCACACCAACUUUUCAUCGUGUGCACUUGAGGGAAGUUACUCCCCGGCUAUGGAAGCGUUUUUCUUUUCUUCUUCCCCCCUUUUUUUUCCUUCUUUUUUCCCCCUACACCUUUUAACAUUCGGCAGUAACAUCGGCAGAACAAGAAAAUAACUGAAUAACUUUCCACUGUUGUUCAGCACAGCAGAGUGGGACGUGUGUGUGUGUGUGUGUGUGUGUGUGGAGGAGGAGAGGAAUGUGAAGAUGGAAGACACCGGGGGAAACAAGGGAGUGCGGCUCUGUGCUCAAUGAGGUGAGAGUCUUCUUAGCAGUCACAAGUUUCCUCUCAGCAGCGGAAGAGGAAAAUGACAGGUAUUCACCACAGCUGCACGAACCACCACUCCAGGACACCCGACACCACGGCUCUCUCCUCCUCAACUGCCAGCGCCCUCUCCACAUCAUCAAGGAACUCAACGCCAGCAUGGGUGGCGGGCAUUGAAUGGAGCUUGCCGGCCGAGAGCAUAAAGCAUCAUGUGGGCGUCAGCAUCACGUCCUGCACAUGUGAGGAUGUCAGAUGGACGACUACAGGGUGACAUGUUUGUCCUGGUGACCUCAGUAAACAUUCAACGCUGUCGACAGUGAAGCAUGUCUGCGAGGAGAGUAUCUGUUUGCCCUCAUCACCAUACUCUGGAACAUCUUGAAGAAGCAGAUGGGGAACAGAGAGCCAGAUACACCCGCCACCUGAUAUUUGCAGGCUCAGUCCGUAUUCCCUGACAUUCAGGCUGAGAGACAUGCAUGAUAAAAAGGUGUUUUUGUUGGGAUUAUAAAACAGGGAUGUGACCCCUCCUUUUAAAAAUCAAGAGACAUGUACGUUGCCAAAUUAGAUGUUCUAAAGCAUGUGCAAAUUGCAAUGACGUGCAAUGAAUUUCAAGAAGUAAACUAAACUCUGUUGUUUGAACGUCUAUGCUGUUACAUUAAAACGUCUAGACUAUAAUAUCUAAAAUGGAUUGUACGUUUUACUGCCAGAUUCUAGCUUUAAGUUAAGCCAAUUGAUGUAUAUAUGUCUGUUUUUAAGACUUUAAGAGAUUAUGUAUAUUCAUUGCAAAAG